rnacentral:rRNA from 1 species
UACGUAGGGUGCGAGCGUUGUCCGGAAUUAUUGGGCGUAAAGAGCUUGUAGGUGGCUCGUUGCGUCGGGAGUGAAAACCUGCGGCUUAACCGCAGGCCUGCUUCCGAUACGGGCGAGCUAGAGUUCGGCAGGGGAGACUGGAAUUCCUGGUGUAGCGGUGAAAUGCGCAGAUAUCAGGAGGAACACCGGUGGCGAAGGCGGGUCUCUGGGCCGUAACUGACGCUGAGGAGCGAAAGCGUGGGGAGCGAACAGG